rfam:Vigna angularis cultivar Jingnong 6 scaffold296_22, whole genome shotgun sequence.
ACAAAUUAUGAAGUCGCCGUCUGUUCUAUAGGCUCGUGCCUCUGUAUCCUUACGUUCUAAAGCGACAGGAACUGAAGUCUGGUGGAUGAAGUAUGAUCCCGUGAUCAGAGCGUGAUGAACAGUAGUGUGAGGUUUUCCCUCUGGGCGAGACUGUGCACCAAAUGUAAAGGAUCGUUCCUUGAUUUUACAAGCCAGGGAUGAUUACAGAAUUAUCUGACAGAUU